AGCGAACGCUGGCGGCAGGCCUAACACAUGCAAGUCGAACGGAUCCUUCGGGAUUAGUGGCGGACGGGUGAGUAACACGUGGGAACGUGCCCUUUGGUUCGGAACAACUCAGGGAAACUUGAGCUAAUACCGGAUGUGCCCUUCGGGGGAAAGAUUUAUCGCCAUUGGAGCGGCCCGCGUCUGAUUAGCUAGUUGGUGAGGUAAAGGCUCACCAAGGCGACGAUCAGUAGCUGGUCUGAGAGGAGGAUCAGCCACAUUGGGACUGAGACACGGCCCAAACUCCUACGGGAGGCAGCAGUGGGGAAUCUUGCGCAAUGGGCGAAAGCCUGACGCAGCCAUGCCGCGUGAAUGAUGAGGGUCUUAGGAUUGUAAAAUUCUUUCACCGGGGACGAUAAUGACGGUACCCGGAGAAGAAGCCCCGGCUAACUUCGUGCCAGCAGCCGCGGUAAAAC
rnacentral:rRNA from 1 species